rnacentral:rRNA from 1 species
GUGGGGUAAUGGCUCACCAAGGCGACGACGGGUAGCCGGCCUGAGAGGGUGACCGGCCACACUGGGACUGAGACACGGCCCAGACUCCUACGGGAGGCAGCAGUGGGGAAUAUUGCACAAUGGGCGGAAGCCUGAUGCAGCGACGCCGCGUGAGGGAUGACGGCCUUCGGGUUGUAAACCUCUUUCAGUAGGGAAGAAGCGGGAGUGACGGUACCUGCAGAAGAAGCGCCGGCUAACUACGUGCCAGCAGCCGCGGUAAUACGUAGGGCGCAAGCGUUGUCCGGAAUUAUUGGGCGUAAAGAGCUCGUAGGCGGUUUGUCGCGUCUGCUGUGAAAGCCCGGGGCUCAACCCCGGGUCUGCAGUGGGUACGGGCAGACUAGAGCGCAGUAGGGGAGACUGGAAUUCCUGGUGUAGCGGUGAAAUGCGCAGAUAUCAGGAGGAACACCGAUGGCGAAGGCAGGUCUCUGGGCUGUUACUGACGCUGAGGAGCGAAAGCAUGGGGAGCGAACAGGAUUAGAUACCCUGGUAGUCCAUGCCGUAAACGUUGGGCACUAGGUGUGGGGGACAUUCCACGUUCUCCGCGCCGUAGCUAACGCAUUAAGUG